rnacentral:lncRNA from 1 species
GUGAGCGCCGCUGACCCCCAGCCCUGGCCCGUCGCCCCCGGCCCGCGCUCCCGCCCCGGUCCCUGGGCAGGACGCCCCCCCAGGCCGCGCACACUCACCUAGGACCCGGCCGGGAUGCCGAGGCUGAAGGACAAAAGGGCUUGGAGACAGGCACUGCAGGAAGAUGUCAAGGGCCAGAGUUUUGACUCCAAUCUGUUGUGAAGCAGCUGUGUGAUCUUGGAGAGGACUCAUGCCUUGAUGGAUGCCAGAGGACAGUUUAGGGACCAGCCUUGGGACAUUUUUGCUGUUUAUGGUACAGAGAUAUUGUUAUAUCUCACAGAUCUGCUCUGUGACCUGCCCACACCAGGAAUCCUUGUUCCUUCUGGGAACUGGUGUUUUGCAAAGUGAGUCUGAUCAUACUUCUCUCUUUAUUUGGUGACUGGGAAGCUCAGAACAAAUUAGGGUCCACUUUUUUCUUUUUAACUCCUCCAGUGCUGGUGAUAGAACCCAGGUCCCUGAGCAUGCCAGGCAGUACUUUACCGGCCCUCGGAUAGAC